rnacentral:rRNA from 1 species
GGGCGCUGGCGGCAUGCCUUACACAUGCAAGUCGAACGUUAGCAUGGAGAGCUUGCUCUCUGAUGGCGAGUGGCGAACGGGUGAGUAAUACAUCGGAACGUGUCCGUUUGUGGGGGACAACCGUCCGAAAGGAUGGCUAAUACCGCAUAAGACCUGAGGGUGAAAGCCGGGGACCGCAAGGCCCGGCGCAGACGGAGCGGCUGAUGAUUGAUUAGCUAGUUGGGGAGGUAAAGGCUCACCAAGGCGACGAUCAAUAGCUGGUCUGAGAGGACGACCAGCCACACUGGAACUGAGACACAGUCCAGACUCCUACGGGAGGCAGCAGUGGGGAAUUUUGGACAAUGGGGGCAACCCUGAUCCAGCCAUGCCGCGUGCGGGAAGAAGGCCUUCGGGUUGUAAACCGCUUUUGUCAGGGACGAAAAGCUCCGGAGUAAUAUGCCGGAGUGCUGACGGUACCUGAAGAAUAAGCACCGGCUAACUACGUGCCAGCAGCCGCGGUAAUACGUAGGGUGCGAGCGUUAAUCGGAAUUACUGGGCGUAAAGCGUGCGCAGGCGGUUGGGUAAGACAGAUGUGAAAUCCCCGGGCUUAACCUGGGAACUGCAUUUGUGACUGUCCGACUGGAGUACGUCAGAGGGGGGUGGAAUUCCACGUGUAGCAGUGAAAUGCGUAGAUAUGUGGAAGAACACCCGAUGGCGAAGGCAGCCCCCUGGGACGCAACUGACGCUCAUG